CAGUAGCCGCGGUAACACGAAGGGUGCAAGCGUUAAUCGGAAUUACCGGGCGUAAAGCGUGCGUAGGCGGUGAGUUAAGUCUGCUGUGAAAUCCCCGGGCUCAACCUGGGAAUGGCAGUGGAUACUGGCUCGCUAGAGUGUGUCAGAGGAUGGUGGAAUUCCCGGUGUAGCGGUGAAAUGCGUAGAGAUCGGGAGGAACAUCAGUGGCGAAGGCGGCCAUCUGGGACAACACUGACGCUGAGGCACGAGAGCGUGGGGAGCAAACAGGAUUAGAUACCCCUGUAGUCCCUGUCUCUUAUAA
rnacentral:rRNA from 1 species